rnacentral:lncRNA from 1 species
GGACAGCGUGUUGGGCUGUGGGGAGGUUACCGAAAGGAAACGGGCUGAGUCCAGUUGUUUGAGCGGUUUUCUCCUUCCACGAGCGCGUGUGAAAAAGCGCGGAGUUGGAUGGAGGGCAGCUGCCAGGACUGCCUCCUGGACUGGGUGCAAAUCACUGUCUGCUGACACAAAACCUCCAGUCUUGUUCAAAGUAAUUGUACAUUUUUUCAUCCUACAUCUCAAGAGACCAAGGGACCUAAGUAAAUUGAUCUACUUGCCAAUGACUGUAAGAAAGACAAAGAAGUUGUAAAAACAUCCAAAUGAUGUUAAACAUAAAUUAGCUCAGAAUAGUUUGAAGAAGAUAAACUACCAGGGUCAAAGCAUGCAUUAAAAACUGGGAAAGAAAUUAAAAGUGUGGUAUUGAAAGAUGUACAGCUGACUUUGGAAAAAGGAUUCCUCUCUAAUUGGUGUUUGUAAGUGAUCGAAAUAAACAUUUUUAAA